AUAGUUCCUAUUUUAUAAAUGGAGAGAUGAGGCCCUGAGAGCUAUUACAUGGUAGAACCGGGAUUUGGAUCCAAGUUUGUCUGGUCUGGAGUCCAUGUACUUUCUAUUCUGCACUACUGCUUCUGAAGAGUGGAUUGACAAUUAUUCUCUGGACUUUUUGGUAACCAAGAACUUCUAGCAACUAACCCUGGCAUGACCACCAGAAUCUGCAGGGCUGAGAGAAGAAAGAAAGGCAAAAGUGGAUGAAUGCAGCUGAAGAUGCUGUGGAACUCCUAUCACAUUCCAAGUGCUGUGUUGAUAUCUGGAGAUAUAGACAAGAUCGAAGCAGAUGCAGUCUUUCACAUGAAUAUUUGAAUCAGGUAGUAUGUUCCCCAAAUUAGCAAAGUAUCUCCCAGAUUUUUUCUUUGAUGAUAUAUUUGAAAUCCUAAUGCUGAAAGUUAAAUUAUCAGGGUUUUAAAACUAGAAGCAGUCAUUAUCAGAAUUUUAUAUACUAUUUAUUUUUAAGAACAUAAUUUGACUGUUUAAGUCUUAUUAUAAUUUUAAGUGAAGUACUUUGGGCAGUCAUAAAUAAAGUAAUGGGCAGGUAUUUAGUAUUCAUAUUGUGUGGAUUCAUAUCCAUAUUCUGCCACUCAGUAUAUCUGGGAUUUUGAUGAAUGAUCAAACUCUCUGAGCCUCAGUUUUCUAAUCUGUAAAGCAGAAAUGAUAAUGGUAUGUAGUGAUAAUUAAACAAUUUACUAGU
rnacentral:lncRNA from 1 species